AUGACUGUCCUAUUUGAGAUUCAUCACAACUGUAUCCAGUUAAGGUCAGCGAUGUUGAUUAAUUAAGAGCUUAAAUGAGCAUGCUAAGGUUACUCUGUUUGGUUGUUGAAGGGUUUGAAGGCUGGUCACUUCUGAACUAUGCCUAUGCCUGUUGCCAAACUGUGCCAGCCAAGGACAGAAGCUCAAGAGCUGGCUUUGGUGGUGGAAGAAGUGGAUUCUGCAAGAGGAGGAUUUUAGACAGUCACUACAGCACUUCUACAUCCUUUUUGUCUGGAUGAUAAAAUCUAAGCAAAUCCUUCAGACAUCAACAACCAAAAUCCAUUGGUGGCCCCAAAUAAUCCCCUCUGCACAAAGACACCAGCUGGAAGCUCCUCAGCCCCUCUCCUGCAGCACGUCUCUGCUGAAAAGUUGCCAUGCAGAUGUCGCAGGGUGAUUCCUGGUUCUUCAAUUCUCGUCUACAGUGGUACGUGAAGAAUGCAAUAAAAUAACAGAACGGCUUUUCAAACAGCCCAAGUAUUCAAUAAAAUGUGCACUGCCACUAUGCAAGAGCAAGAGCCAAACUUGGUUAUUACAAAGCAUGCCAGUGUGAGGAAAACUGGUUAAAAUCCUUCCCGGAUGCAGGGGAUGCUGGCUGACAAUGCAGGGGUCUGAAGAAUUCUUUUUUUCAAGAGGAAAAACUUGGCAUCCCUACCAGCUUGUAUCCCUGCAGGAAGUUUGCUGCGGCUUCAGCAGAGGAAUGUAUCUGACCAAGCCCAAGCAAAAAGAUCCUUUGUGCCCAUUCUGAUUGUCAGUUACUUCAAGCUAGUUCAGGAUUCAGGAAAUAGUGUGUAGUAGCUAACAGCACUAAUCCUUGUACCUGCCAGUCAUGGUGUUUAAUAGAAGCAGAGCAGUUUUACCUUGCAACACCUAGGAAAUGUGAGCGCCUGGUACCUAUAAAGCUCCAAUAUUAAACAUCAUAAACUCAGCCCCUUUUCUCAAUGCGGAACUAUUUAGCUAUGCAAGGCAAAAGGGAAGCUAGGUUUACCAAUUCACAAUGCCCUUCCCAUCACACCUGGAUAAAUAAAAUAUACUCCAAAUGAUUCCUGUAGUGUCUGUGGACUUGCACACUGCUUCAAACAAAGUUUCUCUCCUAUUUUUUAUCUGGCUUAUUCAACUAUCUGACAGAAAAAGAUUUCUUUGUCUCAGGAGAAAUGUAAAGUACCAAUAACUAUUAAACGAGGAAAUCAAAAUACAGAGUUCUGCUACCAAAGAGCUGGGAUUUGGCACUGCACUGAAACUGCUUCUUGUUGUCCCACAUUGUUCUUUGCUGAGUGAUACUCGCUGCACUGCUGCCGCAGCAUUCAGCAGACAGAGAGCAAGCACUCCUGAUUUAAAUGUUAAAGCCUUUGUGUGUAGCUGCUUUAAGGUUUUUCUCUAGGAUCUUAUAACUGUGGCUUAUUGCCUUAAGUAUCUCUGUACUUAGAGUCAGCCUGUUCUGCAAGAUUUUCACUGCAGAACCACAGUGAGCAUUUGGGGUGGUUGCGCUUUGGGAUGUUACUUUUUAUCCAGCCAGGUACCAGGUACUCUCCGGCAGCAGAAUGUGGGCACAGGGCUGCCAACUCUGCCAGUGCCGGUAGGGACUGAUGACUUUUUGCAGCCUGAUGGAAUCCUAAGCUCUUAACGCCACAGAGGAACAAACCCAGGAGGCUGACAGUCUCUGACUUUGUUCUGUGAUACACCAGAUCUUACAUAGGUAGCUGGAAAGUUGGUGUUGCUUCUUAGCAGUGUCACGGGGUUGGGAGUGGGCAGCAAAUUCCACGGGUCUACUAGAAAAUCGCUCCUAAUUGCUGGGAGCUCCCUGCUGAACAUCCUGCAAGGCUCUGAAAAAAUGCUGGAAAUCGACUUUUAUUUUUAUCCA